rnacentral:pre_miRNA from 1 species
AGUGCAAUCGAUGUUUUUUCCAGUACUUUAGUUUUUAGCCACCCUCUAGGAAACAACAUGAAUGCUGUCGGAAUAAACAUUGAUAAGGCACU